AGAGAGAUAAGAUAAACAUAAA
rnacentral:siRNA from 1 species